AAUAAUUUAACUUAAACUUUUGGUAAUCAAAGCAUUAUUAAAUUUAGUAAAGGAGAUUAAAAAUUAUUUUGUUUUAUUUAUUUAAGUACUGUGAAGGAAUAAUUUUAAUUGGGUAAAAGAAAAAAUUAAAUUUUGUACCUUUUGUAUCAUGGUUUAGCUAGAUUUUUAUUGAAUAUCCAAUUUCUCGAAAUUUAAUGAGCUAUUUUUAAUCUUUAUAUUAGUAAAUAAAGACUAAUUGUAGCAAAAAUUUUCUUAGAAUUAAAAAUAGAAAUGAAAUUUUAUUCGCAUUAAAUGAUAGCUAGUUCUUUUAAAAAAAUAUAGAAGUAUUUAAAAUUAAAUUGUUUUUAUUAAUAAGAUAAUUAAAAAUAUUUAAUUUGAAAAAGCUUUUGAGGAUAAGCUCGAAAGCAAUUUAUAUUCUUGUAUGAAUUAAUAUUUAAAUUUAAGCUUGAAAAUAGCCAAAAUUUAUAGAUUUUGUUAUAAUUUCAUUACUUUUAAAAAAUAUAAUUAAUUUACUAUAAUUUUAAUGAAAGAAAUCUCUAAAAUUAAUUUACGAGUUAAACGAAUGCUAAAAUGAGUAUUGUUUAUUAUUUAAUUUACAAAAAAAUAUAACUUUGGAAUUGAUUAAAAUUUAUUUUUACAAAAUUAUAAAAAGGAACUCGGCAAACAUAAAAUAUUCUGCCUGUUUAUUAAAAACAUGGCUCCUUGUCUUAAAUAAAUAGGGAGUCGGACCUGCCCAGUGAAUUUUAUUUUUAACGGCCGCGGUACUCUGACCGUGCAAAGGUAGCAUAAUCAUUUGCCUUAUAAUUGAAGGCUAGUAUGAAUGGUUUGACAAGAAUAUAGCUGUCUCUUUAUAAUUAUAUAGAACUUUAUCUUAAAGUGAAGAAGCUUUAAUAAAAUUAAAAGACAAGAAGACCCUAUCGAGCUUGAAAAAAGUUUCUAGAGAUUAAUUAAUAGAGAAUUUAAAAAAUCAUCUAUAAAAUAUUUUGGUUGGGGCGACUAAGGAACAAACAAAGCUUCCUUAAACAACAAUAACAUUCAAGUACUGAUCCAAAACUUUUGAUUAAAGAAAUUAGUUACCGUAGGGAUAACAGCAUUAUCUUUUUUAAGAGUUCUUAUCGAAAAAAAGGUUUGUGACCUCGAUGUUGGACCAGAAUAUCCUAAAGAUGCAGACGUCUUUAAGGGUUGGUCUGUUCGACCAUUAAAAUUCUACGUGAUCUGAGUUUAGACCGGCGUGAGCCAGGUCAGUUUCUAUCUUUAAUUUUUUUAAUAAAUUUAGUACGAAAGGACCAAUUUAUUAUAAUAAUCUGUAUUACAAAUGAAAAAAUAUAAUUAAAAACUUAAA
rnacentral:rRNA from 1 species